UGUACUUGUUUGUGGUGGUCUCGUUGUCUAUGGAUUCGGUGACGGAGUCUGUGUCCGUGGUGUCUGGAGGGGCCGUGGCUUUCGUGCGGCGCAGGAACGGCUGCCGGGAUUUUGCGGUCUGUGGAGGAAAAAUCAUGAUGAAUAAAGCAGUUAAGAAGAUCCUGUUUUGCGAAGACAACGGGGGUUGACGAUGCAAGGACAAAUUCGGACGAAGACAUUUAAAGAAGGCUGCUAGAAGAUAUUGCUGAUAUGGACGCUUUAGUCCUAGUUCCCAGCGUAAAGAAGGAUUAAACAAAUAAACUUCAAAGAAACAAAUGAAAACAUGAGAACGGGUCAGAAUAAGGCAUGAAGCCGAUUCUAAAUUUGUAAAAUAAAAUUACCGUGGUUGUGUCUUUACUUAAACUACCCCCGAACUACCCUAAAUUUAAGUAACUAGUCACUAGUUUACCUUAGGUAAGUAAUCGUGUAGCUUGAUUGAAAUGAAUUCUUAAAUAUUUUUCUUA